rnacentral:piRNA from 1 species
AUGAUGAUGAACUCGGAAAGAAGCAGUU